CCGUGGUUGCGGCAGCGCGCGCACUUGGGCGUGCGCUGCAGGGGCGCCCGCGGCGGCUGCGACACCGGGCCGCCCAUGUACAGUCUCAGCCUUCUCUAGGAAAGCAAGCCCUAAAGCACAACUGGAGGAAAUUUCGUAAGCUCUGGGAACAGGAAGCAGAGGUCGCCCGCAGCCCUGUAGGCCAGAGGCUAGGAAGUGAGGAGCUGGACGCGAGUCAUUUAACGCGCUGAGGUAUACAGGGCCACGAAUGACACCUUAUCUGAAAACUAUCGCGCUGAAACCUCCGGGUCUCUUGGAAACGUGGGGAUCAACGACUUUUUUCAAAACCAAAUUUCUUCCGAUUUUCUUCAAAUGGUCAGUGAAACCAAGGAGUAGAAAGAACUUGAGCAUGAAUAAAUUUUUAAAAGGAAA